rnacentral:lncRNA from 1 species
GAUCGAAUUCAUACAUACACAAAAACAGAAAGAAACUAGCAACCAUUCCAUACUCUCUGUUGCCUCAUUCUAAAGCCAUUUCUCAGAUCUUAUUCUCUAUUAGCUAAACAAAUUUUUAUGUAUGGCUAUAUCCGCAAAAAUGUUUUCUGCAAUGAUUUAUUUCUUCAGUUUCUUUGUAUCCUGAUAAUGUUUUAUGUACAUUUUAUACAUCAGAUGUUGAGAAUUUGAAAUUACUUCGGGACUGACCAGUGAAUUACAAUCAUGGAAAGAGAGAAAAGAGAAACUCUCUUCAACUACUGUGGAGGAAUCCUUAAAGCGGCCUUCUACAAAAUAAUGGAACUAUGUUCUACAACUCAGGUAUGACUUUAAACUGUGAAAUUUCUUGAUUAUAGAUCUUGAAGGAACUGUGUGUUCUUAAUUGUGUAAAGAUUUUUUAUUGUUCUUAUUUAUUGGUAGUAAUACAUCUGUUAGAGUUAAUUUAUUUAGUAUAUUUCAAUAAAUGUAUAUAUUUCAUACUCUCUGUUGCCUCAUUCUUAAGCCAUAUACCUCAGAAUUUUCAGUCUUCAACAUCAAAUAAAAAGGUUGGCCAAUUAGUAUCUAAUAACUUUAAAAGGUGUGUUUAAUUUUGGUACUCAAAUGGGGAAAAUAUUCUUCAAAAAACACCUUAUGUGUGGCUAUAUCUGCAAAAGUGUUUCCUUAUUUCUCCUAAUAAUGUUUUAUGUACAUUUUAUGCAUCAGAUCCUGAGAACUACAAUCAUGGAAAGAGGAAAAGAAAUUAAAGAAGAAAGAGAGAAAGGGGAAUUA